rnacentral:rRNA from 1 species
GUGGGGAAUCUUCCGCAAUGGACGAAAGUCUGACGGAGCAACGCCGCGUGAGUGAAGAAGGUUUUCGGAUCGUAAAGCUCUUUCGUUAGGGACGAACGUGCUCUUUGUGAAUAAUGAGGAGUAAUGACGGUACCUAAAUAAGAAGCCACGGCUAACUACGUGCCAGCAGCCGCGGUAAUACGUAGGUGGCAAGCGUUGUCCGGAAUUAUUGGGCGUAAAGCGCGCGCAGGCGGGAUAUCAAGUCUGUCUUAAAAGUGAGAGGCUCAACCUCGUGAGGGGACAGAAACUGGUAUUCUUGAGUGUCGGAGAGGAAAGUGGAAUUCCAAGUGUAGCGGUGAAAUGCGUAGAGAUUUGGAAGAACACCAGUGGCGAAGGCGACUUUCUGGACGAUGUCUGACGCUGAGGCGCGAAAGCUAGGGGAGCGAACGGGAUUAGAUACCCGAGUAGUCC